rnacentral:rRNA from 1 species
GGUAAAAAGCUCGUAGUUGGAUUUCUGUUGAGGACGACCGGUCCAUACCAUGUAUGCGCAUCUGGCUCGGCCUCGGCAUCCUCUCGAUAGACGUUUCUGCGCUUGAUUGCGUGGAGCGGAUCUCGGGACUUUUACUUUGAGGAAAUUAGAGUGUUCACGGCAGGCUAUCGCCAGAAUACAUUAGCAUGGAAUAAUACUAUAGGAUCUCGGUUCUAUUUUGUUGGUUUCUAGAAUUGAGAUAAUGAUUAAUAGGGACAAUUGGGGGCAUUCGUAUUAACACGUCAGAGGUGGAAUUCUUGGAUUGUGUUACGACGAACUACUGCGAAAGCAUUUGCCAAGGAUGUUUUCAUUGAUCAAGAACGAAAGUAAGGGGAUCGAAGACGAUUAGAUACCGUCGUAGUCUUUACCAUAAACUAUGCCAACUAGAGAUCCGGCAUCGUUCACUUACGACUUGCUGGGCACCUUAUGGAUACUAAAGUCUUUGGGUUCCGGGGGGAGUAUGGUCGCAAGGCUGAAACUUAAAGGAAUUGACGGAAGGGCACCACCAGGAGUGGAGCCUGCGGCUUAAUUUGACUCAACACGGGGAAACUCACCAGGUCCAGACAUAAUAAGGAUUGACAGAUUGAUAGCUCUUUCUUGAUUUUAUGGGUGGUGGUGCAUGGCCGUUCUUAGUUCGUGGAGUGAUUUGUCUGCUUAAUUGCGUUAACGAA